UGACGCGGGCUGGACCUCUCGGGGUUACAGCCUUGCUGAAUUAUUCACCCUUGUCUUUUGCGUACUUCUUGUUUCCUUGGUGGGUUCGCCCACCACUAGGACAAACAUAAACCUUUUGUAAUUGCAAUCAGCGUCAGUAACAAAUUAAUAAUUACAACUUUCAACAACGGAUCUCUUGGUUCUGGCAUCGAUGAAGAACGCAGCGAAAUGCGAUAAGUAGUGUGAAUUGCAGAAUUCAGUGAAUCAUCGAAUCUUUGAACGCACAUUGCGCCCUUUGGUAUUCCAAAGGGCAUGCCUGUUCGAGCGUCAUUUGUACCCUCAAGCUUUGCUUGGUGUUGGGCGUCUUGUCUCUAGCUUUGCUGGAGACUCGCCUUAAAGUAAUUGGCAGCCGGCCUACUGGUUUCGGAGCGCAGCACAAGUCGCACUCUCUAUCAGCAAAGGUCUAGCAUCCAUUAAGCCUUUUUUUCAACUUUUGACCUCGGAUCAGGUAGGGAUACCCGCUGAACUUAAGCAUAUCAAUAAGCGGAGGA
rnacentral:rRNA from 1 species